UUUGUCUUUUCAAAAUUAUGAUGAUUUGUGUUUUUUAUAACAUGUAGUGACUGUUUUGUAUUUGUUUUGUUUUGCGAGGACUAUUGCUGUUGACUAUCGGAUUCAGUUUCAAUCUCGAGUUAUUUAGGUACUUUUUGUUAGUAGUUUAUGUUGUAUUUUAUUUAUUUUAAAUUAUGCUUAUUUGAAUGUUUGAGAAUGGAGUCGUUAACUGGUUUGGGGUAUUUUUUUUGUUUUCGAGUACUAUACUAUUGACUAUCGGGUUUUACUUUAAACUCCAUUAUUUGGGUAUUAGUAGUUUUUGUCCGUAUGGUUGUACUUUGUUCUUGUUUCAAAUAAAUCUACUUUCACUUUUUAAGUAAUUGUUGUGACUAUGUUGUGCAGUUAUUUUGUUUCGUGAGACCAUUGCUAUUGACGAAGCCCCGGAACUCAAUUGGUGUACAAUGCUACAGUCGAUGUCUAGGCCAGUACUCUCAAAUCCAUCUCCCCCUUUAAAUGUUUGGUACGUAACAGUGACUUUGACUUUUGUAUAUUUAUCCAUGGUCCGUAUUAACCUAACUUGAAGUUCCCCGGUUCAAUUCAAUGUCAAGUUAAUUAGCAGUAUUAUAUGUAUACAAGGCAUAUGGUUGUAACUUUGUCUUUUUAAAUUAUGCUGAUUUAAGUUUUGUGUAAUAUGUAGAGACUGUUUGCAUUUGUGUUCUAUUUUGCGAGGACUUAAUUGUUUUUUGACUAUCGGAUUCAACUUUAUUUAAAAAGCUCGAGUUUAUUUGAGGUCUAUUUGUUAAUAUUUUAUGUUGUACUUUAUCUAUUUAAAAUUAUGCUGUUUUGAAUGUUUCAGUAACGAGUAGUGACUGUUUUGCAUUUGUUUUGUUUUGCGAGGACUAUUGUUAAUGACUAUCGGGUUUAACUUGAAUCUCGAGUUAUUUCGGUGUUAUUAGUCAUUGUCUUAUGUUGUACUUUAUCUAUUUCAAAUUAUGCUGAUUUGAGUUUUUUUGUAAUAAGUAGUGACUUUUUUACUUUUAUUUUGUUUUGCGAGAACUAUUGCUAUUGACUAUCGGACUCCAUUGGAUGUACCAUGCUAAAGGCUCAACUACUCUCAAAUUCAUAUCUCCAAACCAUUGAAAUUUGUGGUACGUAAUAGUGGCUUUAAAUUUUGUAUAUUUAUCUUAGGUCAUAAUUAACCUGAACUUGAAGUUUCCUUCCCCCGGGUUCAAUUUUUCAAACUAAAAUUAAUUUAGUAUUUAGACAAUUCCUUAUGUGUUAGUUUGUCUUUUAAAUUACUAAUGAUUCGAGUUUUUUGUGCAUAGUAUUGAAGCUUUUGCUUUUGUUUUGUUUUGCGAGGACCUAUUUCUAUUUGAAUAUCAGAUUCACCUUUUUAAAACUCGAGUAUUUGGGUACUUUUUUAGUUAGUAUCUGUUGGUGUUGUAUUUUAAUUUGUUUCAAAUUAUGCUGAUUUGAAUGUUGGAGUAAUGUAGAUGGACUGUUUUGUAUUUUUUUUGUUUUUGCGACGGUAAUACUAGGACUAUCGGGUUUAACUUCAACUCAAGUUAUUGGGUAUUAGUAGGCUAUUGCCGUUGUUUGUACUAUCUUUUUAAAGGAUGCUACUUGAAUUUUUAAGUAAUAAGUGUUUUGUUUUGUGAGGACUAUAGCUAUUGACUAUCGGCUCAAUUGGGUGUACAAUGCUAAUAGCGAUGUCUGUGGCUAAUACUCUCAAAUCCAAAUCUCCACAACCUUUGAUGUUUGGUCGUAACAUGGACUUUAAUUUUGUAUAUUUAUCUUGGGCCGUAAUUAACCUGAACUUGAAGUUCCCCGGGUUCAAUUUCAAGCUUAAGUUAAUUAGGUAUUAUUAGACAAGGCCUUAUACUGUACUGUCUUUUUAAAAUUAUGCUGAUUUGAGUUUUUGUGUAAUAUGUAGUGAUUUUUUUGCAUUUAUUUUGUUUUGCGAGUACUAUUGCUAAUGACGAUCGGAUUCAACUUCAAGUUUUUGAGUUCUAUUAGGUACUGUUUUGUUAAUACUUUAUCUAUUUAAAAUUAUGCGAUUUGAUUGUUUGAGUAACGAGUGUGACUUUUUGCAUUGUUUUGUUUGCUGAGGGACUAUUGCUAUUGACAUCGGGUUUAACUUCAAGCCUCAUGUUAUUUCGGUUUAGGUAUUUUAUUUGGUCCUAUGUUGUACUUUAUCUAUUACAAAUUAUGCUGAUUUGAGUUUUUUUGCUAAGUAAUAAGUUAGUGACUUUUUUUCUACUUACGUCAUUGUUUCUUUUGUUUUGCCGAGAAUAGUUCUUAUUGACUAUCGGACUCAAUGGGAUGUUAUACCAGCUAAAGGCUCAACUACUCCAAAUUCAUAUGUCCAAACCAUGGAAUAUUUGUAGGUACGUUAAAAGUGGCUUAAAUUUUGUUUAUGUAUCUUUAGGCCGUCGUAAUUAAUCUGAAACGUGAAUUUCCCGGGGUUCAUUUCAAGCUCAGUUAAUUAGGAUUAUUAGAUAAGGAAGGAGGGUUUUGGAUAAUCGUUUUUGGUACGUUGUUGUGUUGGAUAACUUUUAUUGUUUAUUGAGUGAUGGGAAUGCUGCUGGGCUGGUAAUUGUAUGGUUUAGUGACUCUUUGUUUUUGCAGUUUUCGUUUUCUGUUUUUUGCUUGAGAAUAUUGCAUUUGUUUGACUAUCGAUUCAACUUCAGUUCGAGUUCUUUAGUACUGUUUGUUAUAAUUUAUGUUGUACUUUAUUUAUUCAAAUUUGCUAAUUGAGUGUUUGAGUAACGAGUAGUGACUUAUUUGGCAUUGGUUUUCUUUUGCGAGACUAUGACUAUUGGACUAUCGGGUUUUUAAAUUCUAGCCUCAUGUUAUUUCGGGUAAUUAUUAGUCAUUGUCAUAUUUUGUUUUACUUGAUCUAUUAAAAUUAUGCUGAUUGAGUUUUUUUAGUUUUUUUUGUAAAUAAGUACGUGACUUUUUAUUUGUGUUUUUUUUGUGAAAACUUAUGCUAUGACUUCGGACUCAAUUGGGAAUUAUACCAUGCUAAAGGGCCUAAUACUUCAAAAUCAUAUCUCCUACAAUUUGGAAUAGGGUUAGGUACAUAAUAGUGGACUUAAUAAAUUUUGUUAUAUUUGUUUUAGGCCGUAAUUAACAUGACCUUCAAGUUUCCGGGUUUCCCCCCCCCCCCCCCCCCCCAUUUCAAACUCAAGUUAAUUAGGUAUUUAUUGAGGACAAGGUCCUUAGUUGCUUACUUUGUCUUUUUACAAUUAUGCUGAUUUGAGUUUUUUUGUAUAUAUGUAUUACGGUUUUGCAUUUGUUUUGUUUUCCGAGGACUAUUGCUAUUGACUAUCGGAUUCAAUUUUAAACUCGAGUUAUUUAGGUACUUUGUGUUGUAUUUUAUUUAUUUCAAAUUAUGCUGAUUUGAUUGUUUGUGUAACAAGUAGUGACUGUUUUGUAUUUUUCUUGUUUUGCGAGGGCUAAUACUAUUGACUAUCGGGUUUAACUUCAAACUCAAGUUAUUUGGGUAUUAGUAGUUGUUGUCGUAUGUUGUACUUUGUCUUUUUCAAAUUAUGCUACUUUAAAUUUUUAAGUAAUAAGUUGUGACUAUUUUGCAGUGUUUGUUUUGUAAGAUUAUAGCUAUUGACUACGGCUCAAUUGGAGGUUGUACCAAUGCUAUAGCGAUGUCUGAGGCUAAGUACUCUCAAAUUCAAAACUCCACCCUUUGAAUGUUGUGGUACGUAACAGUGACUUUAAAUUUUGUAUAUUUGUUUGAGGCCGUAAUUAACCUGAACUUCAAGUUUCCGGGUUCAACAAUUCAAACUCAAGUUAAUUAAGGUAAUUUAUUGACUAAUCUUAUGUUUACUUUGUCUUUUUACAAUUAUGGCUGAUUUGAGUUUUUGUAUAAAUAUGUUGUGACUGUUUUGCAUUUGUUUUGUUUUUUCCUCCCGAGGACUAUUGGCCUAUUGACUAAUCGGAUUCAAUUUUAAACCUUCGAGUUAUUUAGGUACUUUGUGUUGUUUUUAUUUAUUUCAAUUAUGCUGAUUUUAUGUUUGUGUACAAGUAGUGACUGUUUUGUAUUUUUCUCUUGUUUUGGCGGUGGCUAAUACUAUUGACUAGAUCGGGUUUAACUUCAAACUCAAGUUAUUUGGGGGUAUUAGUAAUUUGUUUUCGUAUGUUUGUACUUUUCUUUUUCAAUUAUGCUACCUUAAAUUUUUAAGUAAUAAGUUGUGAACUAUUUUGCAGUUGUUUUGUUUUGUAAGGAUUAUAGCUAUUGACUAUCGGGCUCAAUUGGGUGUACAAUGCUAAUAGCGAUGUCUGGGCUAAGUACUCUCAAAUCCAAACUCCACACCUUUGAAUGUUGUGGUACGUAACAGUGACUUUAAAUUUUGUAUAUUUAUCUUGGGCCGUAAUUAACCUGAACUUGAAGUUCCCCGAGUUCAAUUUCAAACUCAAGUUAAUUAGGUAUUAUUAGCAAUUUCAAACUCAAGUUAAUUAUGUAUUAUUAGACAAGGCCUUAUGUUGUACUUUGUCUUUUUAAAAUUAUGCUGAUUUGAGUUUUUGUAUAAUAUGUAGUGACUGUUUUGCAUUUAUUUUGUUUUGGAAGUACUAUUGCUAUUGACUAUCGGAUUCAACUUCAAGUUCGAGUUCUUUAGGUACUGUUUGUUAAUACUUUAUGUUGUACUUUAUCUAUUUAAAAUUAUGCUAAUUUGAAUGUCUGAGUAACGAGUAGUGACUAUUUUGCAUUUGUUUUGUUUUGCGAGGACUAUUGCUAUUGACUAUCGGGUUUAACUUCAAGCUCAUGUUAUUUCGGUAUUAUUAGUCAUUGUCAUAUGUUGUUAUUUAUCUAUUUCAAAUUAUGCUGAUUUGAGUUUUUUUGUAAUAAGUAGUGACUUUUUUACGUUUGGUUUUGUUGGCGAAACUAUUGCUAUUGACUAUCGGAUUCAUCUUCAAUAGCUUCGAGUUAUUUAGGUACUAUUAGUUAAUACUUUAUGUUAUACUUUAUUUAUUUCAAAUUAUGUUAAUUUGAAUGUUUGAGUAAC
rnacentral:lncRNA from 1 species